AAAUCUUCAAAGUAAAUCUUUUGUUAAUUCAACUGGUUUCUACUUUGGCAUUGGAGGUCUUUGCAGCUUCACACCUGCUCCUCUUUGUUCAUUAGCUGGAUCUCAGUGUUAUGCUUGGUUCCACUCGGCGUGAUAAGUUAUCUAUCGCUGAGGACACUUUAAAAGGUGGCCAAGGUAAAUGCAGAUGAACCGCUUCUAAUAGUCCAUUGACUUGGACAAUAAUAUUUUUAUG
rnacentral:misc_RNA from 1 species